rnacentral:rRNA from 1 species
CCUACGGGGGGCAGCAGUGAGGAAUAUUGGUCAAUGGACGAGAGUCUGAACCAGCCAAGUAGCGUGAAGGAUGACUGCCCUAUGGGUUGUAAACUUCUUUUAUAAAGGAAUAAAACGAGGCACGUGUGCCUUUUUGCAUGUACUUUAUGAAUAAGGAUCGGCUAACUCCGUGCCAGCAGCCGCGGUAAUACGGAGGAUCUGAGCGUUAUCCGGAUUUAUUGGGUUUAAAGGGAGCGUAGAUGGGUUGUUACGUCAGUUGUGAAAGUUUGCGGCUCAACCGUAAAAUUGCAAUUGAUACUGGUAGUCUUGAGUACAGUUGAGGUAGGCGGAAUUCGUGGUGUAGCGGUGAAAUGCGUAGAUAUCACGAAGAACCCCGAUUGCGAAGGCAGCUUACUAAACUGUGACUGACAUUGAUGCACGAAAGUGUGGGUAUCAAACAGGAUUAGAUACCCGUGUAGUC